rnacentral:tRNA from 1 species
GGAGAGGUGCCUGAGAGGCCGAAAGGAACGGUUUGCUAAACCGUCGUCCGGGAAACUGGACCGAGGGUUCGAAUCCCUCCCUCUCCG